UACAGAGGGUGCGAGCGUUGUCCGGAAUCACUGGGCGUAAAGGGCGCGUAGGCGGAUAGUUUAGUCAGAGGUGAAAGCCCAGGGCUCAACCUUGGAAUUGCCUUUGAUACUGGCUAUCUUGAGUUCGGGAGAGGUGAGUGGAAUGCCGAGUGUAGAGGUGAAAUUCGUAGAUAUUCGGCGGAACACCAGUGGCGAAGGCGACUCACUGGCCCGAUACUGACGCUGAGGCGCGAAAGCGUGGGGAGCAAACAGG
rnacentral:rRNA from 1 species